GGCUAUCUCCCCUUUCUGUAUUUAUAAUAAUCGACUAUUAGCAAAAAUUAGACCUAGCGCUUGUACCCCUAACAUUUAAGCUGUUUUAAAAAUCCCACUUGAAAACAAGUCUCCCCCACCAUAAAAUUACCGAAGACACCAAAACUUCCACCAAGUUCUAAAUGCUUAAGAUGAGAAUUUGGCUGGACUUCCACGCAGAAAAAGAAAAAGAACUUAGCAUCUUAAGAAAACUCUUCAUUAACAUUGUCAAUCCACUACCCCUGAAAAGGACAUCACCUGAAGGAGCAGAAUACCAUAUAUUAUGAUUGCCGCAGAUAAUUACGAACCCUAACAACUGAACGUUGUGACAGGCCUUUCUUUUUGAUUAAACUAUUUACAC